CAAUGACUUCUAAAUGCUAUAGAAAACCUCUUAAAUACAAGAAUAAAUUCCUAUACCAUGCAUUCUUUUAAAUACCACCUUUCACUAUUCUUAGCCCUCCAACAGAAAGAUUACACUGCAAUGAUGUCACAUUCCAUAGUUGGCAUGGAAAAUCACCACUGCAUGACAUCACAAUGGCCAAUCUAACUUUUACCAUAAGCAGGACAAUGGAGGCUUUGAAAUGUAUUUACCUAGAAAGAUCAGUUUUGGUGACACAAAAACCUUGAUCUGCAAUCAUACAUGCAAAUGUUAAAUGGAAAUACAACACCCUUCUUUUAGCAGUAUAUGAAAGGAUACUGCAAUAGUACUGACACCAUCAUACAUAUAAACGACAUCAUAUGGCAAGGCACACAAUUUCAAAUCAUGCUAUUUUGAUAUGGCCAUUGAAUAUGUUACUGUUCCUUUAAACUGUCAGAAUGACUCCGGGUUUUGCACUUGAUAAUGGAAUAUAUUCUGGCAGUUGUUUUUUUUUUAAAGAGGUGAUUUAACCUUUUUCUAUUCACUUUCUAUGUUUUACUCUCCAUGCAAUAAUUUACCAGGGUGUGAUUUGAAGCAGUAGAAAUGAUCCCAGCUCCACUGUGUUUCCAUCCAUAACGUCUUCCUGAACUGCCUUGUAUGUUAAGGUGUCAGGAAUUGUUUUCCUAUGAUAACCUACCAGCAGGCCCACAUGUAUAUGUGUUCACCGAUAUCACACAGGGGGGGUCAGAGACAUUUACUAAAUAGUAAAAUGAAA